GACGAACGCUGGCGGCGUGCUUAACACAUGCAAGUCGAACGAAGAGCGACGGAAGCUUGCUUCUAUCAAUCUUAGUGGCGAACGGGUGAGUAACGCGUAAUCAACCUGCCCUUCAGAGGGGGACAACAGUUGGAAACGACUGCUAAUACCGCAUACGAUCUAACCUCGGCAUCGAGGAUAGAUGAAAGGUGGCCUCUACAUGUAAGCUAUCACUGAAGGAGGGGAUUGCGUCUGAUUAGCUAGUUGGAGGGGUAACGGCCCACCAAGGCGAUGAUCAGUAGCCGGUCUGAGAGGAUGAACGGCCACAUUGGGACUGAGACACGGCCCAGACUCCUACGGGAGGCAGCAGUGGGGAAUCUUCCGCAAUGGACGAAAGUCUGACGGAGCAACGCCGCGUGAGUGAUGACGGCCCUCGGGUUGUAAAGCUCUGUUAAUCGGGACGAAAGGCCUUCUUGCGAAUAGUGAGAAGGAUUGACGGUACCGGAAGAGAAAGCCACGGCUAACUACGUG
rnacentral:rRNA from 1 species